AACUAACUAGGAUUCCCCCAGUAACUGCGAGUGAAGAGGGAAGAGCUCAUCAUUGGAAUCUGGCAGUGUUGCACUGUCCGAGUUGUAGAUGAGGAGUAGUCCGUCUGGACUGCAUGGCGUCCAAGUACAAUAGGCCGUCAGUGGGACAUCAUAGAGGGUGACAAUCCCGUCCUUGACGCCAAUGUGCAAGUCUAUUACGAUGGCUAUCUCAGAGAGUCGAGCAGUUUGGGAUUUGCUGCUUAAACAUGGGAGGUAGAUUCCUUCUAAAGCUAAAUACAGGCGAGAGACCGAUAGAGAACAAGUACCGCAAGGGAAAGAUGAAAUAGCACUCUGUGAAGGGAGUCAAAAGGCGUGAAAUUGUUGCGAGAGAAGCGAUUCAAGUCAGCGUAGCUAGGCCCAUCAAGCGUCUUCGCUUUGGACUAGCUUUGCCAGCGGUCUUGUCCCUUGAAGAGACUUGACUUGUAAUAUGUCCAGCCUGGCGUGCACAGGCAGCCCCUUCUGGGGGCCAGUGGCAUGGCUGGUGGAAUGGCUUGCAAUCGACCCGUCUUGAAACACGGACCAAGGAGUCUAACAUGUAUGCGAGUAUAAGGGUGGCAAACCCGUAUGCGCAAUGAAAGUGAUUUUCGGUGAUUGAGAAUGGCCUGAUGACCAGACAAGCAAUAUAUGUCCCUCGUACGGCCAUUGCCCAAGUUCCGUGGUAGAUCCCACGAACAUGGAGUUGGAGCAUACAUGCUAGGACCCGAAAGAUGGUGAACUAUGCCUGGACAAAGCGAAGCCAAAGGAAACUCUGGUGGAGGCUUGUAGCGAUUCUGACGUGCAAAUCGAUCGUCUGAUCUGGGUAUAGGGGCGAAAGACUAAUCGAACCAUCUCAUAGCUGGUUCCUGCGA
rnacentral:rRNA from 1 species